AACGCUGGCGGCGUGCUUAACACAUGCAAGUCGAACGGUGAACACGGAGCUUGCUCUGUGGGAUCAGUGGCGAACGGGUGAGUAACACGUGAGCAACCUGCCCCUGACUCUGGGAUAAGCGCUGGAAACGGCGUCUAAUACUGGAUAUGUGACGUGACCGCAUGGUCUGCGUCUGGAAAGAAUUUCGGUUGGGGAUGGGCUCGCGGCCUAUCAGCUUGUUGGUGAGGUAAUGGCUCACCAAGGCGUCGACGGGUAGCCGGCCUGAGAGGGUGACCGGCCACACUGGGACUGAGACACGGCCCAGACUCCUACGGGAGGCAGCAGUGGGGAAUAUUGCACAAUGGGCGCAAGCCUGAUGCAGCAACGCCGCGUGAGGGACGACGGCCUUCGGGUUGUAAACCUCUUUUAGCAGGGAAGAAGCGAAAGUGACGGUACCUGCAGAA
rnacentral:rRNA from 1 species